rnacentral:rRNA from 1 species
AACGCUGGCGGCAGGCCUAACACAUGCAAGUCGAACGGUAACAGGAAGCAGCUUGCUUCUUUGCUGACGAGUGGCGGACGGGUGAGUAAUGUCUGGGAAACUGCCUGAUGGAGGGGGAUAACUACUGGAAACGGUAGCUAAUACCGCAUAACGUCGCAAGACCAAAGAGGGGGACCUUCGGGCCUCUUGCCAUCGGAUGUGCCCAGAUGGGAUUAGCUGUAGGUGGGGUAACGGCUCACCUAGGCGACGAUCCCUAGCUGGUCUGAGAGGAUGACCAGCCACACUGGAACUGAGACACGGUCCAGACUCCUACGGGAGGCAGCAGUGGGGAAUAUUGCACAAUGGGCGCAAGCCUGAUGCAGCCAUGCCGCGUGUAUGAAGAAGGCCUUCGGGUUGUAAAGUACUUUCAGCGGGGAGGAAGGGAGUAAAGUUAAUACCUUUGCUCAUUGACGUUACCCGCAGAAGAAGCACCGGCUAACUCCGUGCCAGCAGCCGCGGUAAUACGGAGGGUGCAAGCGUUAAUCGGAAUUACUGGGCGUAAAGCGCACGCAGGCGGUUUGUUAAGUCAGAUGUGAAAUCCCCGGGCUCAACCUGGGAACUGCAUCUGAUACUGGCAAGCUUGAGUCUCGUAGAGGGGGGUAGAAUUCCAGGUGUAGCGGUGAAAUGCGUAGAGAUCUGGAGGAAUACCGGUGGCGAAGGCGGCCCCCUGACGAAGAC